GCCCACUUACCAGCAGUGUUCAUGGGGACAUCUAGGCCAAGAAGUGGGGAGAGCCACUGGGAAAAGGGAGCAAACUUGAAUCACUGCCUCUGGCUGAGACAGACUCCAUCCUAAUUGCAGGCACCUGGAGUUGACUUUUCAAGACUGCUCCUAUCACAAGGACUGGAGUCAAAAAACACUGGAGUCAAAAAUAUUAAGCUGAUCCCUGGGCACCACUCUUGUAUUUCUAGAUAGAGGUGCCCCCCGAGCAGGUGAAAGCAUUAGAGAGAGAUGGGAGGGCAUUUGAGUUGUCAACAGGGAAAUCCCCUAAUCGUCUGCAGUUCCCAAAUAGAGCCUCUCUGGGGGUCGCCCAGGCAAACACCAGCUGCCAGAGGUGAUCCCCUUAGUCAUUGAGCAACCCAGUUCAGGGUCCUGCUAAGGGCUCACCCACAUUGAGAAUAAUUCUAGAGUCUGCCAGUUUUCCCACAUUCUUUUCUUGGGAGUCUGGAUGUUGGCUCACAAUUUUGGCAUGUGAAUGUCUGCCUGCAGAUGUUCAUCUGUCUCCCUUAACCUUCACAGUGAAGCAAAUAUACACAGAUGAAAGAUGCAAUGUGAAGUACUGAACAGGUUAAGUUAAAAAUGUUCCCUGACACUCUGGAGGCACAGACACUAACCGUGUUUUUUCAUCUAAGCAGAGGAAUCUCUCCUUGAGCAAAGACCUUGAUCAAUUCAGAGGCUGGAAUGCAACUAAAGAGGCUGGCCACACAGAAAAUUGGUCUACUUUAUACCACGUCUGGCUGGGAAAAGCUCUGGGAUUUUUGAUUUGCCAUCAGAACAAAAAGAUGACAGCCUUGGUUCCAGCAUUUAAAAGCAAUUACAGAGCUGAUUUAUUCACAAAGUCUGUGCUGUACAUUAACUAAAUUUGUAGUUUUAAUCACUGAUAGGAAAAACAAAACGUACACACACGGCAGGUCAUUUUCUGUCAAUCCCCAGAGACCUUCGUCUGUGAGUGCUGGUGUGGGGAGGAGGCGGCAGGAGACUGCUGCAGCUGUUAACAAAAGUCAGCAACGAUGGAAACACCAUUCUGAUAGG
rnacentral:lncRNA from 10 species